AUGGCCCAACCUCCCACCCGUGACUAUUGUACCUUGUUGCUUCGGCGGGCCCGCCAGCGUUGCUGGCCGCCGGGGGGCGACUCGCCCCCGGGCCCGUGCCCGCCGGAGACCCCAACAUGAACCCUGUUCUGAAAGCUUGCAGUCUGAGUUGUGAUUCUUUGCAAUCAGUUAAAACUUUCAACAAUGGAUCUCUUGGUUCCGGCAUCGAUGAAGAACGCAGCGAAAUGCGAUAACUAAUGUGAAUUGCAGAAUUCAGUGAAUCAUCGAGUCUUUGAACGCACAUUGCGCCCCCUGGUAUUCCGGGGGGCAUGCCUGUCCGAGCGUCAUUGCUGCCCUCAAGCCCGGCUUGUGUGUUGGGCCCUCGUCCCCCGGCUCCCGGGGGACGGGCCCGAAAGGCAGCGGCGGCACCGCGUCCGGUCCUCGAGCGUAUGGGGCUUCGUCUUCCGCUCCGUAAGCCCGGCCGGCGCCCGCCGACUCAUUUUUUUGCAACUUGUUUUUUUCCAGGUUGACCUCGGAUCAUGUAGGGAUA
rnacentral:misc_RNA from 1 species